rnacentral:rRNA from 1 species
UACGUAGGGUGCGAGCGUUAAUCGGAAUUACUGGGCGUAAAGCGUGCGCAGGCGGUUUUGUAAGCCAGGUGUGAAAUCCCCGGGCUUAACCUGGGAAUGGCAUUUGGGACUGCAAGGCUUGAGUGCGGCAGAGGAGACUAGAAUUCCUGGUGUAGCAGUGAAAUGCGUAGAUAUCAGGAGGAAUACCGAUGGCGAAGGCAGGCCUCUGGGCUGACACUGACGCUCAUGCACGAAAGCGUGGGGAGCAAACAGG